GGGGCAUAGAUGGGUAGGAAAUCGGGGCUGCCAUGGAAGGUGCGCUGCUUGCUGGAGAAAGGAAAGUCACGGGAGAAGAAAGAAGGAAGGAAGAAGAAGAGGGAAGGAAAGAGAGAGAGAAAAAAAAGAAAUAAAAGAAAAGAAAAGGGGAAAAAAGAAGGGGUGGCGCUGCGGUUUGCCAGGGAUUUCUGGCUCCCAGCGAUGGGGAGGCAGCAGAAAAUAUCUCCCGUGUUUUUUUUAACACAAACUAAAACGAAAUAAAAGGAAACAAAUAAAA
rnacentral:lncRNA from 1 species